rnacentral:rRNA from 1 species
ACAGUCACACAUUAGACUACCCCCGUAGUCCCAGCCCUAAACGAUGCGCGUUAGGUGUAUCGGUGACCACGAGUCACCGAGGUGCCGAAGGGAAACCGUGAAACGUGCCGCCUGGGAAGUACGGUCGCAAGGCUGAAACUUAAAGGAAUUGGCGGGGAGCACCACAACGGGUGGAGCCUGCGGUUUAAUUGGACUCAACGCCGGGAAGCUCACCGGAUAAGACAGCGGAAUGAUUGCCGGGCUGAAGACCCUGCAUGACCAGCUG